GUGCCCACUUUGGCAGCACAUAUAUUAAAAUUGGAACAAUAUACAGAAGAUUAGCAUGGCCUCUGUGCAAGGAUGAUAUGCAAAUUCAUGAAACAUUGCAUAUUAGA